AAGGAGAGUCUGCCGUUGCACCCCCCAGUCACAGUCAUCUCCCGCUGCUGUACCCAGGACGUUGCCCUCCCCGACGGCCGGGUCAUCCCCAAAGGGAACGUCUGUGCUAUCAGCAUCUUUGGGAUCCAUCACAAUCCAUCGGUCUGGCCAGAUCCUGAGGUGCUGCUCCUCCUCCCCAUUCCUGGGGCCUGGUGAUGGGGCGCGGACCUGACCUGGGACACCAGACUCUGUGCCUCUACUGCACCUGCCCGACUUCCCCCGGGGUGGCUGGUGUGCCAUCUCCCAGCAGCCCUCUCUUGCCCUGUCCCCAGGUCUAUGACCCGUCGCGCUUCGACCCAGAAAAACCCAGAAGAGGUCA